UCAAACAAGUAAAAGUAACAAAGUAAUAAUGAUUACUAAUUAAUUUGCAUUUUAACUAUUUUGCUUUAAGUAAAGGGAAUCCUAUCAUCAAUUAAAAAAUGACUAACAACUUAAUUUGAUAUUGAUUCAAUCAAUAGUAAUUAGUAAUACGUAGCCAAAUUCUGUUUUUAAAAAAAAAAAACUCGAACCCGAUCUGUACCCGACAAAACCGAACCAAUUAGUAACCGAUGACAACCCCAGACCGAUUGACACUCGAUACGAACUUCAACUGAUACCGAACCGAUGCUAACGCAAUAGCUUGAAUAACCGAUCUCCAACCGAACCAUGACUAACCGACUCAACCCGAGUGUGACCCGUUGUAACACACAGCCGAAAAAUAACCGAUUCGAACAUACAACCGAACCAAAUGACACCCGUCCGAAACCGACCCGAUCACCCAAAUGAACACCUCUAGUAGAAAGUAAGCUACUUAAAUUGAUAAAUGUACUUACUAAUAGUAGUGAAUUUUAUUCGGAUUAAUACGCAAAUCAAACUCUUCAAAAUCGACUAAGAAAUAUGAUUUGAUUAUUUUUAAAAUUCCAUUUGAUUUUCAUUGAAAUUAAAAACCAAAUUAAUUAUUCUGAAUUCGGUUUUAUAUAACUAAAAGGCAAAAACUGAUUAUUAAAACUAAUUACAUAAAGCUUAAAUAAAAAAAAUUAUUUGGUGAAUAAUUAAGAAAACCAAACACCAAAUUAUUAGAGCUAAUUGUUUAAUUGAAUUGAUUCAUUAUAUAUAUUUUAAACCAAAAACGAAUCCCAAAACCAGGUUUGUAUUUGGAAAACAGCCGUCUGAGACUACUGAAAGUGAGAAACUAACCGUCUGAGAUGGCGAUGAAGGAUUGAACUGCAAUUCUUUUUCUUCAUCCCCUACCGGCUGCACGCGAUAUUAUCUUCUUCUUGAUCUUUGAUCUUCAGCCCUUUUAAUCUUCAAGGUAAAUGUAUUUUGGAUUCUAAAAGCCAACGUUGUUAUAUCAAUGCAAUAGACGCAGUAGAGUUGAGACAAAUAUACUCAUGUUUUACAAGGAAGACGAUGAAUUUAUGUUACUUUUAUAUUGAAAAGGAUAAUAGCUAGUGUGUUUGUUUUAUAAAUAGUGUGUUAUUUCUGUAAAUACUUUUGUAAAAAGAUAUAUAAAAGGUUUGUUACAACUAAAACCACACUAUUUAGACACUAGUUGAAUUUACCUACAAGUAGUAUACUAUUUUGUCCAUGAGUUUGAUUGUAUGAAUGAUUUGUGGCCACAUGUUGUUCAUGUGGUAAACGAUAAUUUACGCUCUUAUUGUA